rnacentral:ncRNA from 3 species
AAGUCGUAACAAGGUCUCCGUAGGUGAACCUGCGGAGGGAUCAUUACAAGAACGCCCGGGCUUCGGCCUGGUUAUUCAUAACCCUUUGUUGUCCGACUCUGUUGCCUCCGGGGCGACCCUGCCUUCGGGCGGGGGCUCCGGGUGGACACUUCAAACUCUUGCGUAACUUUGCAGUCUGAGUAAACUUAAUUAAUAAAUUAAAACUUUUAACAACGGAUCUCUUGGUUCUGGCAUCGAUGAAGAACGCAGCGAAAUGCGAUAAGUAAUGUGAAUUGCAGAAUUCAGUGAAUCAUCGAAUCUUUGAACGCACAUUGCGCCCCCUGGUAUUCCGGGGGGCAUGCCUGUUCGAGCGUCAUUUCACCACUCAAGCCUCGCUUGGUAUUGGGCAACGCGGUCCGCCGCGUGCCUCAAAUCGUCCGGCUGGGUCUUCUGUCCCCUAAGCGUUGUGGAAACUAUUCGCUAAAGGGUGUUCGGGAGGCUACGCCGUAAAACAACCCCAUUUCUAAGGUUGACCUCGGAUCAGGUAGGGAUACCCGCUGAACUUAA